CAGCUGUAAAGCAUGCCAGGAUGCUCUUAGCUAUCAAGUCUGGCUAAAGGAGUCUCUGGAUUAAUCACAAACCCUUGGCAAUUUUAGAAACAUCAGAAAUACUCAAAAGUGAACCUUACUGGUGCUUUUGACGAAAUAGAUGGAAUCAAGCACUGAAAGUACAGCAGUCAGGACCCUUCAGCUUUAUUGGAAUAUGGUGGUGUGCAGUGUUCCUGUUUCUGUGUCUGCAAAGCGUUAAGCUUCAGAGCAUAUGGAACCCAGGGCGUGCAAUGGAGAAGCGAAGGAACGUGUCCUUCACUAGCGCUAGAAAAAUGGAGUUUGCGGCUGGGCGGUAUGAGCGUGUGUAUUCAAAGUUCCUGAGCUGGGCGGUAUGAGCGUGUGUAUUCAAAGUUCCUGAGUUGGGCGGUAUGAGCGUGUGUAUUCAAAGUUCCUGAGCUGGGCGGUAUGAGCGUGUGUAUUGAAAGCUCCUGAGCUGGGUUAAGUGCUGAGAAAAAGUAAAGAUGACAGCGGACCCAACCCAAACUGCGUUAGUAAAAAGCGAACGCGUUGACUCACAGAGUCGAUCGGUCCAGGUGCAGUGGGGGUGCCAGUGUUGUCAGUAGCCUCGGUGUCUCUUCAUCUCACUUGCUUCAUUUUCCUCCUACAUCAUCCUAGGGGAGAAGUGUCCUCUCUGAUCGUGUUAUCGCAUUCUUUGAGCUUGAUGGUCUGGGAGGAAAAGAAGAAGCUUUCUCACCAAACAGUGAAGCAAAAGCUUAGAGCCUGGAUCACUGAACUGAGUCAGGGUCACGUGGUGUCUUCACAGCAAUCCCAGGGGUCAGGAGCUGUGAUUCAGUGGCUGGUUCAGGUCAGCCAGUGUCCACCCCGACCCCAGGAUGCUCAGCUAGCCCACUCACUCCCUUCCCUGGAAAUCAUCUUGGCAUAUCCAUGGCUAUACACUGUGUCCUGCAUGGCAUGGAGAACAGAGGGUAUCAAAGGUGUCCCCAGGGCCAGCAGCACCCACCUGGGGACUAGUGGGAAAGAAAAUUCUGAGGCCCCUCCCCAGACGUCCUAAAGAAGAAAAUCUAGGGAUGGGACUAACAAACCCUCCGGUUUUGGUGCCGAUUAAAGUUUGGGAACCACUGGCUUAAAGAAACGGACUCCUUCUGAGAAACAGGCCUGGUUGGAGGGAGAAUAUAUUUUCAUAGCAAUGAGGGCAGUUUAGCCAAAGGUCAAGUUAGAUGAACUUGGAGACUCUAUCAAAUGCCAGAAAGAGAGAGAGGAGAAAAAUAACUGUAAGAGGGAUCACUGUGGGCUGUCUGAACAUGGCUAUUUUGACCCUGGAAAAAUGCACAUACAUUUUUGUUCCCUUAGCACACAUUCUGCCGUCCAGUAAUAAUGCAUUGUAAACAGACCCUAUUAAAACAAACAGUUCUCUCUGGAUCUUUUUUUUUUUUUUUCAAUAUUUUCUCUAAAUAGUUAUUUGGUAAUACACAUUUUUCUGUUUUGUGAAGUCCCUAAAUAGCAGAGGUCUCAUUUGAAGGAGCCAACUCAGGCCUCUUAGUGCCAGAACGUUCAUGAAGUUUUCGUUUUACUAAAUAAAGAACUGGAGUGAAUGUCAGCCCCAUGGUGGUACUGGGCCCUCAACCCAGUAGGAAAAUGAGGGGCUCAGAG
ensembl:lncRNA